UACGGAGGGUGCGAGCGUUGUCCGGAAUCAUUGGGCGUAAAGGGCGCGUAGGUGGCCCGGUCAGUUCGUGGUGAAAGCGCGGGGCUCAACCCUGCGUCGGCCAUGAAUACUGCCGCGGCUGGAGCACUGUAGAGGCAGGCGGAAUUCCGGGUGUAGCGGUGGAAUGCGUAGAGAUCCGGAAGAACACCGGUGGCGAAGGCGGCCUGCUGGGCCAGUUGCUGACACUGAGGCGCGACAGCGUGGGAGCAAACAGG
rnacentral:rRNA from 1 species